AAGUCGUAACAAGGUUUCCGUAGGUGAACCUGCGGAGGGAUCAUUACCGAGUUAUCCAACUCCCAACCCCUGUGAAUUAUACCUUUAAUUGUUGCUUCGGCGGGACUUCGCGCCCGCCGGGGACCCAAAACUCUUGUAUUUCUUUAGUAUCUUCUGAGUAAACAAGCAAAUAAAUUAAAACUUUCAACAACGGAUCUCUUGGCUCUG
rnacentral:misc_RNA from 1 species